rnacentral:rRNA from 1 species
GUCCACGCCCUAAACGAUGUCAACUGGUUGUCGGGGAAGCAAUUCCUUGGUAACGAAGCUAACGCGUGAAGUUGACCGCCUGGGUAGUACGGCCGCAAGGUUAAAACUCAAAGGAAUUGACGGGGACCCGCACAAGCGGUGGAUUAUGUGGAUUAAUUCGAUGCAACGCGAAAAACCUUACCUACCCUUGACAUGUACGGAAGCCUGCAGAAAUGCGGGUGUGCCCGAAAGGGAGCCGUAACACAGGUGCUGCAUGGCUGUCGU